GUUCCUCCCCAGGUGCAGGACUUCACGUUUCUCCUUGUUGAACUUUGAAGUUGUUAGAUGAAUUCUCAUGCUUUAUUAAGCUGGAACUCUACUAAGCCAUAGGCUCCAACCCCUGGCAGAACAGUAGAAGCUUGGCCAUGAAGUGCAUUGACUGCUUGCUUGAGUGGGAAGCUGUUCUUGGUAAUCAAGAACCUUUUUUUUUUUUUUUUGUCUGUAUGAGGAAGACCAUCUCUAUCUUUCAAAAAAGAUGAAAUCCUGAAAUAUUCAGUGUUCCAGCAACGAUCUGGGUUUUCGACUGACUCUAUUUGUGCAUGGUACAAGAUUGAUCAUUGGUUGGAUGGUCUCAGUUG
ensembl:lncRNA